rnacentral:rRNA from 1 species
CGAAGCAGUGAUGUGGAGCGAAACUCAAAAAAAUAAGUCUCAGUUCGGACUGAAGGCUGAAAUUCGCCUUCAUGAAGCCGGAAUUGCUAGUAAUGGCAGGUCAGCAUACUGCCGUGAAUACGUUCCCGGGCCUUGUACACACCGCCCGUCACACCAUGAGAGUUGGGAAUACCCGAAGCCUGUGAGCUAACUUUUAGAGGCAGCAGUCGAAGGUAGAAUCAAUGAUUGGGGUGAAGUCGUAACAAGGUAAC